CCUACGGGAGGCAGCAGUGAGGAAUAUUGGUCAAUGGCCGUAAGGCUGAACCAGCCAAGUAGCGUGAAGGAAGAAGGAUCUAUGGUUUGUAAACUUCUUUUAUAGAGGAAUAAAGUUAUCCACGUGUGGAUAUUUGCAUGUACCCUAUGAAUAAGGAUCGGCUAACUCCGUGCCAGCAGCCGCGGUAAUACGGAGGAUGCGAGCGUUAUCCGGAUUUAUUGGGUUUAAAGGGAGCGUAGAUUGUUUUUUAAGUCAGCUGUGAAAGUUUGGGGCUCAACCAUAAAAUUGCCGUUGAUACUGGAAGCCUUGAGUGUGUUUGAGGUAGGCGGAAUGCGUGGUGUAGCGGUGAAAUGCAUAGAUAUCACGAAGAACUCCGAUUGCGAAGGCAGCUUACUAAGCCACAACUGACACUGAAGCACGAAAGCGUGGGGAUCAAACAGGAUUAGAUACCCUGGUAGUC
rnacentral:rRNA from 1 species